UACGUAGGGGGCAAGCGUUGUCCGGAAUUAUUGGGCGUAAAGAGCGCGUAGGCGGUCCGGUAAGUCGGCUGUGAAAGUCAAGGGCUCAACCCUUGAAAGCCGGCCGAUACUGUCGGACUAGAAUCCGGAAGAGGCGAGUGGAAUUCCCGGUGUAGCGGUGAAAUGCGCAGAUAUCGGGAGGAACACCAAUGGCGAAGGCAGCUCGCUGGGACGGUACUGACGCUGAGACGCGAAAGCGUGGGGAGCGAACAGG
rnacentral:rRNA from 1 species